rnacentral:rRNA from 1 species
CAGUAGCCGCGGUAAUACGUAGGGUGCAAGCGUUGUCCGGAAUUAUUGGGCGUAAAGAGCUCGUAGGCGGUUUGUCGCGUCUGCUGUGAAAUCCCGAGGCUCAACCUCGGGCUUGCAGUGGGUACGGGCAGACUAGAGUGCGGUAGGGGAGAUUGGAAUUCCUGGUGUAGCGGUGGAAUGCGCAGAUAUCAGGAGGAACACCGAUGGCGAAGGCAGAUCUCUGGGCCGUAACUGACGCUGAGGAGCGAAAGCGUGGGGAGCGAACAGGAUUAGAUACCCGGGUAGUCCCUGUCUCUUAUAC